rfam:Triticum aestivum genome assembly, contig: Triticum_aestivum_CS42_TGACv1_scaffold_433924_5DL
UUAUUACUCCCUCUGUCCCAAAAUUCUUGUCUUAGAUUUAUUUAGAUACGGAAGUAUCUAACACUAAAACGUGAAUAGGUACAUCCAUAUGUAGACAAAUCUAAGACAAGAAUUUUGGGAUGAAGGGAGUAUUUA